rnacentral:lncRNA from 10 species
GCUAAGACUCAGUGCCAGGCAUCUGCAAGGCAGCUAGGGCAGCAUAAGAUCAUUUCAGAAUGAAGAUGCUUUGGGAUCUGACUUCGGACUGUAAGAAUGACAAACUCUGAAUGGGUGCAAAGGUAGCAGAUGACCUUCAAAGGAUGCUACGUGUAUGUGUUUCUAAGCAAAACUUCUUGGAAGAAAAGGAAAUUCUUAGAAGCAAUUAGAGUAUCACACCCAUGCUAUACCCUUUGAUUCAUUAGCUUGCUCUGUUUUUCUGUUAUUUUGAAAUUACCCAAGUGGAAGCAGAAAAACUGCCAGGAAAAUGUCACAGCCACCCCUUACUGAACAGCAGAAACACCAGCAAAACACCAACUGCAACAUGGUGUAUUUUGAAGGUGAGAUUAAAUUUACCUACACCUAGAGAAAUAAUUGGAGCACAUGUCUAUUUGGGCCAAGAGGAUAAAGGCCAGUAGAGGAAUCAGAUCAAAGAACUUCCUCAGGGAAGUGUGCAGAGAACUGGAGUGGACCUUCCCCUAGGAAGCUGCCCAAAACGAGAGUGCUGGAAAGCUGGCCGCAGUGAGGCACUUCAGAUCCCAAGGGUAUGCUGGGGAAGCUGCCACAGGUGGGAGCACUUGCUGCUGGACCCUAGGCACUGUUGAAACAACUGCACCAUCUGCAGGAGCCCAGCAAGAAAGAACUUGUUUGCAUCCCUGCUAGACAAAAACCUACAAGUUAACCUUUGCCCGUAUGGAGUUGUAAAACAGACCAGUUGAUAGAAAGAGAAGCCUGCUUCCCGAAGCCCUCAGCAGAAGCCGAGCAGAUGUUGGCACCAUGCUUCUUGUACAGCC